rnacentral:lncRNA from 1 species
UUUGGGGGUCUGGGUUUAUCAUCUUGCUCAAUUAGGAUAAUACAUGGUUAAAAACUUUAAAGAAGGAAAAUAAUCAGUUUAUUUUAAAAUGUGUGGACAGAUGUGUAUAUGCAUAUAAAAAUGCUCAAACAACUAGCAUUAAACAGAGAUUUUAGAAGUAGAACUAAUUUCUCUCUCUGUGUGUAUGUGUCUGAAACAUCUGAGCCUUGGACUUCCUAUCACCGUAUCUUUUCUGACUUCAAAAGAUACAACAGCAAAUGAACAUUAAUUGUAUCUAAACUAUUGAGCCUACCCUCAAGUGAUGUCCAUAAAAAUUUGCCACUCAGUAUGUCUUGAU